GUCGGUAGUGCUCAGAGGUAGAGCAUGCAGUCAGCAGGUGCGAGGUCCUGGGUUCAAUCCCCAGUACCUUCA
rnacentral:tRNA from 1 species